CGACCUGGCGGCAUGCCUAACCAUGCAAGUCGUACGGAGAGUGGGGCAACUCACUCUCAGUGGCAAACGGGUGAGUAACGCGUGAAUAACCUGCCUUUGAGAAGGGGAUAACUGUCCGAAAGGAUAGCUAAUACCCUAUAUUGCCUUUUGUCACUAAGGCAAAAAGUGAAAGCGAGGCUGUCAAAAGCUUCGGCUCAAAGAGGGGUUCGCGUCCUAUCAGGUAGUUGGUGGGGUAAUGGCCUACCAAGCCAAUGACGGGUAGCUGGUCUUAGAGGAUGAUCAGCCACAGUGGGACUGAGACACGGCCCGCACCCCUACGGGGGGCAGCAGUGGGGAAUCGUGGGCAAUGGGCGCAAGCCUGACCCCGCAAUGCCGCGUGAGGGAAGAAGCCCUUCGGGGUGUAAACCUCUGUCAGAUGGGAAGAUGGAACUAGGGGCUAAUACCUCCUAGUCUUGACGGUACCAUCAGAGGAAGGGACGGCUAACUACGUGCCAGCAGCCGCGGUAAU
rnacentral:rRNA from 1 species